CAGAAGAAACUUUCUCCAUUUCUCUAACCGUGUAUGUAUCCUGAAAGCAAAAACUUUUUUACUGAUGUUUGUAUUUGGUUUGUUUGGUCACAUGUAUGAUAAAGGGGCAAGAAAUUGGUACAAUGGAUCGAUCGCCAAGCAUUGAUAAGUAGAAGACGAAACUGUUAAUCUGUUAAGCAAUAAAGAAAAGUAAUUGAUGUUGUAGAUAUGGUGUUGUUUGGGGCUCGUGUUGAAGGAAACCGAAAACAAAAGGAGGGUUGUACGGUGUUUGAAACUAUAAUUUUCUCCCCUUAUCUAUUUGUCUUUUCCGAUCUAAGUUUUCUUAUUAUUUCUGGUCUUCGGUAUUUUGCUAUUGUGUUUUCCGAUUUAGCUUUAAUUAUUUUUGUUUUUAUGUUUUUUACUUGCAAAUUUAGAUACUUAUGAGCAAUACAAUUAUGCAGGUGUGAUUUACCAAGAACAUGGUCAAUUUAAUAAACUGUGUGAGGUGUUGCGCAAAUGGAACUAUUGCUGGAACAAAAGCACAUUCAUAAUGAAGUUUCUUUUAGCUUUGGAUUUAAUAUGAUUAUUUGACCUACUCUACAUUUUUAUUAAAUGUAAUGCAAUGCCUUUUUUUAUAUUUAAGGAAGUGGCUUUUCUCUAAUCAUACAUAAUCCAAAGUUUACCCCAAGUUGUGUGAUUAAUCUUUUGGUUUAAAGCUUCAGGCUCAAUUGAAAUAAACCCCCUAUGUUUUAUCCUUAUGUAAUAAUCAAAUUUUGAUAAAGAUCUUCCAUGUUUGGUUGAAG